UACGUAGGCAGCAAGCGUUGUUCGGAGUUACUGGGCGUAAAGAGUAUGUAGGCGGUUGCGUAAGUUCGGUGUGAAAUCUCCCGGCUUAACUGGGAGGGUGCGCCGAAAACUGCGUGGCUAGAGUGCGGGAGAGGAGAGCGGAAUUCCUGGUGUAGCGGUGAAAUGCGUAGAUAUCGUAAGGAAGACCAGUGGCGAAGGCGGGUCUCUGGACAGUUCCUGACGCUGAGGCACGAAGGUCAGGGGAGCAAACGGG
rnacentral:rRNA from 1 species